rnacentral:lncRNA from 10 species
UGGGACAUUAGCUGAAAGCUUGCAGAAUUUAGAUGCAAAUUGCAUAUUAGUGUCAAAUCAGCUUGCCACAGGGACUUCUCACCAGGCGAGUCUGGUGACAGGGCCUGUUUUCUCCUUCCCUUUGCAGAGUCAGUCUCUCCAUUCUUCAGGAAGAGCCUUGGUGGGUACAGAGAGAGGCCUGAGUGCCAGGCAGCACCGUUGCAAAACCAAGAGGAUCAAAAAACUCAGUGAAACCUACAGAACAACUUUGGGGGCUGGGACAAAUUGGUCACAUUGCAGUGCCUGUGUCAGGCUGGCCUGUGAUGAAGUCCACCCUUGUCAGUUGUUCACUACCUGGCCUUAACAAGCUGUCUGACUCUUCUGAGCCUCAGUUUGCUGAGUUGCAAAUGGGAGUAUAAUUUUGCCUUAUCUCAAAAGUGUAUUGUGAUGCUUAAGUGAUAGCACUAGGCAUCGGUUCUAGAACAUAGAUGGUGCUGGAGACUUAAUAAUGUCCUUUCUUACUUCUUAUGACCAACAAAAGCAAGGAGAUGGAAACUGACAGAAGCUCAGAUUCUUAUUUCCCAACUUGUACAUCGGAGCAUCCAAUUUUUAUCCCUGUAGCCCAGUGGCUGGCUUAUGAGUUCUGUCUGUGUCUAUUGAACCAAAUUGGUAGAAAGAGUGUCUUAUCUAUAUAGCCAUCUCCCUGCCAUCAUCCCAACAAUCAACAAGUACCAAGGGGGACGAAACUUCAGUUGGCCUCUACUUUAGGGCCUGCAAUAAAAAUGAAUCAGGCCUGGCGUGGUGGCUCACACCUGUAAUCCCAGCACUUUGAGAGGCCGAGACAGGUGGAUCACCUGAGGUCAGGAGUUUGAGACCAGCCUGGCCAACAUGAUAAAACCCAGUGUCUACUAAAAAUACAAAAAUUAGCCGGGCAUGGUGGUGGGCACCUGUAAUCCCAAUUACUCCGGAGGCUGAGGCAGAAGAAUCGCUUGAACCUGGGAGAUGGUGGUUGCAGUGAGCUGAAAUCAUGCCAUUGCACUCUAGCCUGGGCGACAAGAGUGAAACUCCAUCUCAAAAAAAGAAGAAUCAACAGGCAGGCCUCCUGCCUCUAUCCCAUUUACAGCAUGGCGUAGUAGAAACAGCAGUAAGCUGGGAUCACAGCUGGGUUCUCUGUAGCUAUGCCCCUUGGACACAUAAAGCCUCAGUGUUCUCAUCUGUGAAAAAGUAGUCAUAAUCUCUGCCUCCCUGGAGAGGGUGUGUAUGGAACCAGGGCAAGGUAGAAGACAUGAAACCCAACAGGUGGGUGAGGCACUAAGACAACUAAUGAGGCUGGGUUUGUUUACAGGGUCCCACUGGGGGCUGCUGUGUGCUGUCCUCCCCUUGCUGGCUCCAACUCCUGCAGACCCUUGGGCGGCUGUUUCCCCAAACCUGGAGCUUUGGCAAGGGGCUCUGAAGCCUGCCAGGAGAGAAUGAGGGGAGCCCACAGGGGGAGAGCUGCACCUUUCUACUGAGCCGCUAAACAGAGUAGAUUUAUAAGUCAAUAAACAUGGGCCGAUUGAGAGUGCAGGCUCCCAACUGCCCCCGUGGGAGGGGACCUCCCUUGGCUCCACAUGUGGCACCCUCCGAGGGAGGUGGGAGUGUGGGGGCAGGGAGCUGGCCCAGCACAUGCAGGUGGCCCUGAGCUGCAUCUCUGUCCUCCACUCCACUGUGCUUAUUCUCCACAGUGAGCGCCUACCUCCUGCUGGAUCAGAGCCUCUACAGGGUGGAAGGGGAAACAGAGGCACGUAACUCAGACCAAAAUAAUGCUGCAGCAGAGCAGGGAUUUGAGUUCCUGACCACAAAACCCACCAUAGAAGCAUAACUAUCCCCAGUGUCCUCACCUGAAAUGGAAGCAGCACAUGAGAGCCCCGGCCACACCAGCAAAGGCUGAGCAUUCAUCGAACUCAGAGCCGGCUUCAGGGUGCGGACAGCAGCCAGCAGGGCUCUGGGCUGUUGCUCAGAGCUGGGCAGCACGCAGCAAACGCCCCCUUGCCAGGAGAUGUGCCCUCUGACAAAGACCCAUUCUUCAGAGACCCUGCAGGCUGCAGCUAUGCUGUCACUAAAAAGCAAAUUUAUAACCCAAGAGUUGAUAAUUUAAGCAAGAAUUGGGAGGAGCUAAAAUCUCUAUCAGUAAAAAUAUUUUUUUCUCUCACCAAAAACUGAACCAGCACCACCUCCACUCCCCUCCUCCACCACAUCCCGUUUCUUUAAAUGGAGAACACCCAUGGUUCAAUUAAAAUGACUUUUUGGAAAAAUUGGAUUUCUAAGCAAUCUGUAGUUGGAAUCAGGUGUUCCUGUUGUGGGGUAAAAGGUGCCCAGCUGCUCCCGCAUCUUCUCCUGCCUCCCUCCAUUCAGGGCUCGGGCCUGAUGUGAGCCUGGCUGCUGCUGUACUACACGAGGGACAGUUGCCAUCUCCAGACACUGACUUCAGGGGCACACCCAGCAUCCUGCCACAGCAGAGCAGGGCAGUCAGUGGCAUCAGAGCCAAGCUGGGGCGUGCAGUGCACCUGCCUGUCAGCCGGCUGGGGUGCUGAGGCGUCGCAUCAGAAUUGCAGGAUGCAACACAUCUGCCUGCAUGUCAGCCGCUGGGAGAGAUGCAGGCAGCUGAUAAGCAGGCCAUUUGUUCCUUUUUAGUGGAGGAAGGGGAUGUAGAGUAAUGUAGUGUAACAGCAGCAAAAAGCACAAGCCAGCAAGAAAGGCUUUCUUCAAAACCUUCUUAGCCUUCAAAGCGUCAAUUCAGCAUAAUGUCAAAUCCAAUGGAAAAAAAAUAAAUCCGACGGGGUGGGAGAGCAGUGUAUGCUGGAGAUCUAAAAAUCCUCCCUGUCCCUGAAAGCUGAUAUUGCUGUUGGCACCUUUAAUGCAGUCCAGCCUCCUACUCUGUGAGACCUUACAUGGUUACCCCUCAUCAGGCUGGUGUAUUCAAGUGGUUCUGUUAACCUACGCGGAUGAGAUCAGGAAGGAGCUGGUCACGUGGCCAUCACAGCUUCAUGGCUUUCCUGCCUGUCCUCCCCCACCCCCUGCCCAGCCUGCAGGGAUGUUUGGCGUUUCGCUCAGUGGGGGGCAUCACAGAGUUGCUGAGUGCUGGUGGAGAGAAGCCCUGGUUCUUCAGUUCGAGGCCCUCUUUAAAUAGUAGUGAGGGGCAGACUGGUUAACCUUGCUCUCCCCUGGAGGAAGCCAGCCUCAGUGUCUUUGUCUUCUUUGUCACCUACAUUCUAUAUAAGAAGAGCGUCCCAGUCUCCUUUGCAAGCUGUGUGCAGAAAAGACACAAAAUGGUGCCAGUUUUGCAAAAGGGCGGAGUAGCUAGCUACCGACAGGGCGGCGCAAUUGCACAGGUCCCAGGAAAUCUCAACAACAGAUGCCCUGCAGACCUGAAAAUCUCCCUCAUCCAAUGACCAAUUGCUUGAAAUUCCCCUAUGCAAGGCUCAUUCUUUUGUUUUGUGAUCCAGUUGGGCUGCAAAUGCCUCCAGUCAUCUGGGAUGUUUAACUGUCAGAGAGAAUAAGCACAGAAAUAAAUAAAUAAGAAACACAUCAUGAGACUGCUGAGAGAGAAAUGCGAGCAAAAAGGUGGAGUAGCUAGCUGCCGAAGAAGCUGGGCAGGACCCACAGGCAUUCAGAUUCAGCUCAUCUCUUACUUCCAAUUUUAAGGAUUCUACCUAUUUUGUUUUGUUUAUUUGAAACCUAGCUGUUCAUCAAGUUUACCUGCAGCAUUUGUAAAAAAUGCAGAUUCCUGGACCCAACCCAGACCUACUGAAUCAGAAGCUCCUGCAAGUCUGUCUUUUGAACAAGUUCCCAGGUGAUUCUUCUUAUGUGACUGCUCUCAUAGGAACUGCUGGACUAGAUGAUACCCAAGGGCCCUUCCAGUUCAGGCAUCCCCUGAUGAUUUUAGCCAAUAAAAUGGAUGAACCCAAGCCUGGGAAAGGAAGGGCUGCCUCAUGGGACUGUUGGUAACCAAUGGAACAAGUAGGUCACCCUAUCAGCUAGGGAGGAACAGAGGGAAAGCAACAAGGCCCAACAUAUAACAGAGCUCAUCAACCCUGCUCUCUCCUCUCUCAAGACUGAAGCCUGUGAAAAGACGUGGGUCCCCGAUUGCUUCCAAAAAAGUCAGUGGCCCACAUGCCAUAUCCAGGCCAUCUUGAAAUGGACAUAUGUGGUAGGAAGGAUUCUAAGAUGAUCCCAGAUUUCCACCUACUACUGUCCAUGCCCUGUGUCAUCCCUCCCCUUGGGUUUGGGCAGGGAUGGAGAAUAUGAUGGCUGUCUCUCCCAAGAUUAGAUUACUAAUGAGUUCACUCUGACAUAAUCAAAGGUAGGAUUUGAACCUGAGGGUACUUCCAGUUGCCAACAGUGACCCCUAGCCAACAACCAGACAGAAAACAGGGACAUCAAUCCUACAACCACAAAGAGAUGAAUUCUGCCAACACCUGAAUAUGCUUGGAAGAAGACCCUGACUUCAAAUGGGAUCACAGCCCUGCUGACACCUUGAUUUAGCCUAGAAAGACCCUGAGCAAUGGACCCAGGUAACCGUGCCUGGUCUCCUAAUGCAUGGAAACCAUGCAUCGGGCGAUCUAUUAGGCAGUAAGAGAAAAUCAAUUUCACAUGCAAUAAAAUAAAAACAAUGGCAUGCACAUGCCCUUCACGAUUUGCAAAGCCAUCACCAGGCCCACACCUUACCCACCUGGGCCUGCUGAGGCCUGCACCUUCAUGCAGUGCCCAGGAGUGUCCACUGGAUGAACCUUCUCACACUGAUGCUCAGGCAAGGCUGGGAGGCCGGUGGGGCCAUUUUGUUUUUCUAAAUUUCUGCUUCACAGAUGGGGAAACUGAAGCUCAAAUACAUUUCUCUGGGGUCGUUUAAAAAGUCCACAGAAGAACCUGAACUCGACUUCAGGCCUUCUGAUUCCAAAGCCAGGGACCUGUCCUCUAUGCCGCCAUCCCCAGCAUGAUUCUCUCCAAGAAAAGAGAAUUGUUUUAAACUCAAGUCCCGGGGGGCUGAAGGGCUAUAACUCUUUUUUAAAAGGGUAACUCAGAGUGGCUGAAAGAAGGUGACUGUUGUGAGGUUGCCAGUGCCCUUCCCCCUCUGGCACGGCAUCCUCCCCUGUCCACCCUUCGGUUACAAGGUGGGCAGGGGUCUGGCAGGGAGAGGCCAGUGUUAUUGCAGGCUGCGGCUGACGCACUGCCCAUGUCCCACUCCAAGAGCCCUCAGCCGAACCUCCGAGUGCAGCUCAGCAUUCCUGCCCUUCUCUGACCCAGGGAGGCAGAGAACCCAGCCAAACCACUCAUCAACAAGCCCACUGUCAUGUGUCAUUAAUGAUGUCAGAUCAAAUCCAAGCAACAAUUGGAAAAACAGAUUGCAACAUUGUGCUCUUUAUUGCUGGUGUUUCUGUGGAGCAUUAGCAAUAAAAAGACUCCAGAGAGGAGCUGUAAAGGAGAAAGCGAAAAAGAGCAAAAGAGAAAGCAAGAAAGAUACUUUUUCCCUUGCUGCAAGCUUCACGACACAGCCACUUUGUAACAUGCACCAUAUGCAGCAGCCACUCUGCACAAGGCCCAAUAACCUCCUUCCAAAUGGUAAUAAAUCCCCUCGGACCCCAACACACUUGUAAUUUACAACUUGGCUAAAAUGAACAUUAUUUCAAGCUAAGCGUAUUCUCAGAGGUGCAGGAGAAUGUGGCAGCUUUCCUGCUGACAGAGGAGUUUCUUUUUAAAUGUCAUGCAUUCACUUUCAUUACUUCCAAGUAAUUGCUGGAAAAGAUCGGCCGCUGGACAGGGCUGCCCACUUUACAUCACCAUGAGUCAAUAUCAUCAUCAUCAAAGGAGCCCCUGGGAGCUGGUUUCAGCCUGGGGAGGGCUCAGCCCUCAGUUGCUUGUUCCCUGUUGGUCUCUUGGCUGUGCAGAUAAAGGUGCCUCCAUCAUUCUCCUGGGACAGCUUCAGGUAAGAUGGAAUGUUGUCUAUAGAUAGCAUAACCUAUCAUCACUGCCAUCAUCAAAUAUCAUUCUGCUGCAUCCAUUGGAUCAUAAUGCCGUUGCCUGCCCAGUCCUGUAUGUGGUGCUUGUUAUCUGGCGCUAACUGGAGGAAAUGUAUUCCUGCCCCUCGUGGAAGUUGGAUCUUUGGUCAAGAGGAUGAAAGCACAAGAAGAUAUUAAACAGCAUGCUUUUCUACAUGCAUACCGUACAUUUUGGGGAAAGCCUGCUUUCAAAUCUAACACAGUUUUUUCUGUCAAAGCUCUGAAUGUGGACACCUAUUGCUGCAUAAUAAACUACCCCCAAAACUUGCUGGCUUAAUUAUUUCCUACGAGUCUGUGGGUUCAAUGAUUUCAGCUGUGUGGGUGUUCUCACUGUGAUGUCAGCUGGGGUUGCAAUCAUCUAGGGACUGGACUUAGCCGCAAAUUUCCAGUCAGCUCACUCACAUGUCUGGUGCCUUUGUAUGAAAGGCAGGAAGACCAGACUUAGCUGAGCAGGUGGAGCUGGGUUUUUCUCUCUCUACAUCAGGUAGACUCAAGGCCUCUUGCCCACCACAUGACCUCUCCACAUGGUCUCUUCAUGCGGCUUCUUCUGCACGGCAGUUGCGCUUCCUACAUCGUGGCUGAGAACCCAUAAAAGCACAAAAGUAAAAGCUACCAGGACUAACACAGGAUCACUUUUGCCACAUUCUGCUGGUCAAAGCGAGUCAUAAGGCCAGCUCAGAUUACACAUGGAGAUGAGUAGACAGGGUGCAAACACCAAGAGAUGUGGUUCAUUGGGGCCACCUUUGAAGAUUAGCUUGAAUCAGGAAGAUGGAAAAAAAAGAGCAGAAAGCCACACAUCCUUUGCGAAACAUCUUCAGAUAACUGCCAUCAGCUCUAAUCUCCCUUAAGGAGUGAGCAUGAAGCAGUUUUAUUUCUUCCAAUCACUGCUUCAAACUGUGAUAGGUUUAAUCCCCCUCUCCUAUUACUUAGUGACAUCCCAGGCAGAAUCCACAACUUUCUAGUCAUGUUCACUGAUUACAGUAGUCUGAUUCAGUGUUUUAGAUGACACGGGAGAAUUAUUUUUUUUAGGCUUGAUUAUGUCUUUGCGAUUAUAAGAAAAAAUACUCUUAAUUUUAAGAGAACAUACUGUGAUGUUCAGGGGUAAAGUGUCAUGGCAUUGCAAUUUACUUUGAGAUAUAGAUAGAUAGAUAGAUAACCAUUAACAAUUCAUGAAAUGAGUAAGUAAUUAAAUAGAUGUUAAUUGUUCCAAUUUUUUAACAUUUCUGCAUAUUUUUUAAUUUGCCUAAUAAAAUAUUGAAGAAGAAAUUCAGUCCACUUUAUAACUUCCAUUUAAUACCCAAUUUAAAGGGAUCCCUCUCUCCCAUCAUUGGCACAGCUUGGGGCUUUAGGGACUUGCAAGAGGAUGGGAGGCGGUCUGUUCACACAUUGCGUCGGAGAAGGAAAUAUCUCUUUGCCUAACUGGGUACAAUUAUAAUUCUACACAUACUGGCUUUUAUGGCUUCUCUAGUGCACACCAAUCACUAUUACUAUUCUUUGCGUGGCACAUGUUGGGAUUUUUGGAGGAUCCUGCAGGUCCCGCACAGUUCUCUGAAAGGUAAGACCUACUUCUAGCUCUUCCUGCUCCACACUGGCCCCCUCAGCCCCUGCCACCUGUAGUCCACCUCCUUGAAAUCUCUUGCUCCUGGAUCCCUUUCUCAAGGAAUAGAUCUGAUCUCUCAGGUGGGAUGCAGGCAAGAUGGUGAGAGUUAGCUCUCUCCUUCUGUGCCUCCUUGAUCUAGGAAGGACUUGAAAAGCCAGUGGUGGGGGUCAGGCUGCUGCACUGCUGCCCCUUCCUCAAGCCUCAACACCCCCAUUUCCCUUUCCCUUGCUCUGAGGCAGGUCUGUGAGUUCCCUUUGUAGGACAUCCAAGCAAGGAAUAGCAUAUUAAUCUUCCAGUUUCACAAGUGCACCCACCUCUCGUGGUUUAGUAAGGAGGAGAGGAUGGAAACUCCCCUUUCCUCCCUCAUUCACUAUGAACACUGCACCCUUACAAAGCAGACAAUUCUGAUGACUGCCCCCUUCUCAGCCCCCAGUUCUCACCAUAUGUAGACUGAGAUUCUGUCAUGGGGCAGGGGCCUGAUUAUUGCAAGAAGGUCAAUGUUGCCACUUUUGGAAGCUCUGGAAGAAGAUGCUGACCCAGUUGUUACCAGAUCUCUUUACAAAGUGGGGUUUAAUGCCUCCUAUCUUCAGCUGUAGAACUUCAUCACUAAUUCUAGGGAAACAAGAAAAAAUCUACUCCACAUCCCUUACAGAGGCAUAAAUAUGUUUAUUGUAUCUGGUGCAGAAAACCUGGGUUACAACCCAACUCAACUACUAACUCACCGUGUGAUCUCAGACAGUUAUUUAGUCUCUGCGGUCCUUAGGGUUGGUAAGGACACGCCGUCUGGUCAGGUAGGUUUUCAGAUGAGUAUUACAGACCCUGAGGGCUCCCAGGAGAUACUUUAGGGACUCUGCAGAUAUUGGCAUGAAUCCGAGCAAACAGCCAAGAGCUAGACUGGCCAGGGAAUCAGUUCAUCACUCUAAUCUGUUUUUGACAUCAGGGUUCCAGGUAAGAUUUUCAUUUAGAAAAAAAGAAGAGUUCCAUUCUAAAAAUGUUUGAAAGCCAUUCAUCUGUCCAACUGCUUCAUUUUACUGCCACAGAAAAUGCCAGCCUCUGAGGAAUGGCUGAUGUGGUAUGUGCUACCAUACCAGUUCAACGAGCCACCAGUUAUCUCUGAUAGCACCAGACAAGAAAACAGUUCUGAUUGAGAGCAGAAAGAAGAAUCCUUUGAAGUAUUAUGUCCAGGAGAGGAAUUUGACCACCAUCAUCAAGCAAGAGAAUCUCUCCCUGUUGUGGUUUUCUCUGUGUGUGUGUGUGUGCGCGCGUUCACAUGUGUGCACCUCCCCCUCAGUCUGCCUGUUGUUGUGUACCAGGAGUUAAUUUAAAACUACACAAGACAUCUGAGGCUGGACAAUCAAUCACUUCAUCAUUGCCACUGCAGAUAAAGAGAGUGGCGAGACAGGAGGAAGGAUGGAGGAGCACAUAAGAGAGAGCGAUAAACUCCCUGCCUCCGAAUCAGCCUCAGAGAAACAAGCCAUACUCCUUUGGUGCUCAUGGGCCUCUGUGUGCAGGAACUGGAGAAUGAAGAAGAAGGCUGAAACAGAAACUAAGCUUCCUCCAAGAGAAGCCCAGGGCUGUCCCAAACAUCGGGUGUGCUGGGAAAGACUGGAAGCUGAAAGGGGUCUAGAAGAUGUUGGGUUGGAAAAGGACUUCAUUCUGCAUGCAAAGGAUGCUCAAGAAGUCACUGAGUGUCUCUGUUCACUGAGCUAACCAGCAAGCUCUAUGUGCAUGAUUCUGGGCUAUUUCCUUAUAGCUGGAGCAGCAGUGGGCAUAGCAGGGUCUCAGGAGUCAGGAGGAUCCCCACUGUCACCCUGGCUGGACUGGACCGUGGCUCACUCCUCCUAGAGGGAUAUCAAGCCCAGCCUCUGGCAAGGAGACUGCAGUCUGUCAACUCUGAGUGGCAUCCGUGGAGUGCCACGUUCCAGCGUCCCGUGUCCUCUGCAUAAAUGCAAUUUCCCCAAAUGUCAGGAGAAAAGCAUUACGGAUAACACAUUGUGUGUGUCUUUGACCCAGUAAGUGCUGAAAUCACAGAUCUCAUUAUUCUGACAUGAUAGAAUUUUCUCUUUCUCUCUCCCAGCACAGGCUGACUGCUGUUGUUUUUCAUACUGCAGACCUAAUUGCCAAAGGUGCAAAGCCACCACAGAAAAACAGGCCUCACCUAUUUCCUACCCCCAAAACAAAAUGCCAGGUCUCCUUGUAUGAGAAGAAAAUGAUCUUAAAGUCAGCUCAUAACAGGACAUUAAGUUGUGGAUAAUUUGGGCCACAGCUUUCCUGGAUGCCUGAAAAAUAGACAGUAUUUGACAUUGAAAGCAGAAUCGCCCUGGAUGACUCCACCAGCACAUCUGACUUCCAGUGCAGGAGCUGUCUGAGAUUUAGGGUAGGGGCAAGAGCAAUGAAUGAAUUUGAGAGCUAGGUCUAUUCUGUCUAUCUGUGCAGUCAUACUCAAGUUGUUAAUUCCCCUCAGUUAGUCUUCUCAUCUAUAAAAAUAAAGGAUUAAAGCUGUGUCAUAGGAUGGAUGUGAGAAAUAAAGACAUGGUGAUGCAUAUAUGGUGUCUGGCAAAGAAUCGGUGCUAAAAACAUUUAUUACAGUUAAAUCUAGAGUUCCACUUUAGGGAUGUAGUCAAUAUAUCAUCCAUUCAAUCAACAAACAAACAAGUGUUUACUGAGUGCCCUGAUCUUGAAGACAGAAGACAUGGGCUCACUAAGUAUUCGUUGAAUGAGUGAAUUGCUUCUCAUUUAUCAUGAGGGGACUCUGGACAAGUCCAAUUCUUUCUCUGACUGUUUCACAGCCUAUCAAAUGCAAGGUAUGUAGGAAUCACCUUGAAACAGCCUUCUGGUUUUGAGACUCCGUUGCUCGAGAGGGCCUGUAUGAAAGCACAAAGAGGUACAGUACAAGACAGAGUGGCAGCUCUCCCAAGCCUUAUGAUGUAGUUAACAGGGUGUAUCAGAUACAUCUCCAUGAAGGUAGCAAAUAAAUUGAGAGCUAGGUCUAUUCUGUCUAUCUGUGCAGUCAGAGGUGGUAUGUGAGGGGUGCAGCUAAGGGGCAAGUGCUACAGGUGUUCAGAAGAGAAAGAGGGCUGGUGUUUGGAGGAAGCGAGGUCAAGCCUGCACCUUGGAGGUAUGAUGGGAUUGUAUUGGCAGCAAGAAGGCCAAAGGCAUUCCAGGGCAAGUUGUACUGACCUUCACAGCUCAAGCGGGAAUGGUUACAUUGAAAUCUCAGUGAAGUUCAAUUCAAGUUAGAAGUUAAAUCAUAGGAUACAAGUGCCGGUUAUUAAAAGGCAGAACUGCAUAACAAGCAUCCCCAACCUGUUGUGGGCUUCCUACCAGGCCUUCUUUUAGCCCUCCAUCUUGCCAGGCCAUCACCCAAAAUGCCAGUGAGAACUUGUCCCUCCUCACUUCCCCACCUGGCUUCUCCAUCACCUCUUCAUGGAGUCUUUCUGAAAAGUCACUGCCCCAUGUUUGUCUCUUCUCUUGCUCACCUUCCUCUACAGGCUUAAAGGGAGACCCAGGAAGCAAUGACACCUGGAAGGUUCUGUUUGGUCUUACUCCCUUCUUGGAUUGUUGAACUACAAAUGCCACAUUUUCUCCUUCAAGCUUGGUCUUGCCUUCCUCUUUCUACCAUAGAAACAGGCAACAAUACAUAAAUUGAGUUUUUCUGGUAAUAAAAAAAUACACUUUUACAUUCAUUGUAAAUUUUGGAAAGUAUAGGCAAGUAUAAAGAAAGUAAUAAACACCAGUGUCAAGCAUAGAUGAUAAAUAGACAGAUGAUAGGUAAAUGAUAGAUAGAUAGAUAGAUAGAUAGAUAGAUAGAUAGAUAGAUGAUAGAAUGAUAGAUAAUAGAUAUUCAAAACUGGAUAUAUAGCUUUGUAUUUUGUUUGUGUGUUUAUUUCCACUUAAGAUCCCAAUAUGAGCAUUUUCCCAUACCCUUAAAACAUUAUUUGAAAACAAUGGUUUUUAAUGGUUUUUAUUAUCAUCAUUAAUGGAAUAACGAUAGUAUUCCAUUGAAUGGAUUUAACCAUAAAUUAUCUAACUAUUCCCAUAUGUUGGAUUUUAAGGUUAUUUCUAAUUGUUAGCUAUUACAAACAAUGCUGCAAUACAAAUCCUGUACAUAAAUCAUUUUCUAGUAUUAUUUUCUAAGGUUAAAUUCUUAGAAAUGGAAUUUCUUGGUCAAAGUGUAUAUAGGAUUUAAGGCUAUUACAUUCCUCUUUAUCACUACAAAUGCUCUACAGUUCGUUGAUCAGCUAAAGACAUAUUGCUAAACAUUACAAUGACUCUCCAUGAGGAUGUGCCUUGUCUCCCCAACUGGCCAUAAGCAUCCCCCCAAGGCACCUUGCACAGUGGUCAGCAGAUGGGUAGUGAGUGAGCAAAUUGGGACCACUAGACUUAGGGGAAUCUUUUUCCCACCAGAGGAGUCCAGUAUCACACAGGAUUCUCUUUGAUAUCCAUCCCAGGGAGUUUAGUUGCCAAAGUUCCAAGAAGACCUCAUUAUUACUUGGCCUUGCCUACAAAGUAAUCCCGCACCAUAAUUUUCAGGUCUUGAUGAAUCCAUCUCCGCCUAAAGAAGAGUUUCCUGACUGUCUGAGUUACGCCAAAAUAAAAUAGGCUUCCCUAAAAGUUGAAACUGUGGAUAUUGCCUCGAAUGGCAAAGGAACUUGCAGUUGUGAUUAAGGAUUUUGAGAUUAGUUCAUGAUGCAGUAUUUGCCAGCUGGACUCUACAUGUGAUCACAAGGCCUUUUUUUCAGAGACACGGUCUUGCUCUGUGGCCCAGGCUGGAGUGCAGUGUCAUAAUCACAGCUCACUGCAGCCUCUAACUCCUGGGCUCACGUGAUCCUCCCACCUCAGCCUCCCAAUACAAGUCUUUAUAAAAGGGAGACAAGAAGGUCAAAGGAUAUGUGAUAACAGAAGCAAAAGUUCAAAGAAAGGAUCACAAGCCAAGGAAUGUAGGAAUGCGAGGAAGCAGAUCCAUCUCAGAGCCUCCAAAAGGAGCCAGCCUGCCAACACCUUGGAUUCAGCCCAGUGAAACUGACUUCAGACUUGCAACCCCUAAAACUAUAAGAGAAUAAAUUUGUGAUGUUUUAAGCCACUAAAUUUGCUGUAAUCUGUUACACUAGUCAUAGGAAACUAAUACAAGCAAUCUUUCUCAUAUCUGAUUGUGUAUUUCUUGUUCAUUCUUUCUUUUUUGGCCAUCCUUGCCAAAGCAUAAUCUGUUUUUGUCUGUUUGUUCUGUAUUUUUUAAGAAUCGAA